rnacentral:rRNA from 1 species
CGACCUCAGAGUAGGUGAA